rnacentral:rRNA from 1 species
AGCGACUGUGCAGGUUACCGCGGCUGCUGGCACGGAGUUAGCCGGUGCUUCUUCUGUGAGUGAUGUCCUUCCUGCCGGCUAUUAACCCGCAGGCCUUCUUCCUCACUGAAAGUGCUUUACAACCCGAAGGCCUUCUUCACACACGCGGCAUGGCUGGAUCAGGGUUGCCCCCAUUGUCCAAUAUUCCCCACUGCUGCCUCCCGUAGGAGUCUGGGCCGUGUCUCAGUCCCAGUGUGGCUGAUCAUCCUCUCAGACCAGCUACGGAUCGUCGCCUUGGUGAGCCGUUACCUCACCAACCAGCUAAUCCGACAUAGGCUCAUCCGAUAGCGCGAGGCCCGAAGGUCCCCCGCUUUCCCCCGGUAGGGCGUAUGCGGUAUUAGCCUGGGUUUCCCCAGGUUAUCCCCCACUACCGGGCAGAUUCCUAUGCAUUACUCACCCGUCCGCCGCUCGCCACCAGGGAGCAAGCUCCCCGUGCUGCCGCUCGACUUGCAUGUGUUAGGCCUGCCGCCAGCGUUCAAU